AACGGUGAAGUAAUUAAUGUCCACAUGACCAAGAUCAUAUAAUAUAAAUGAUAGUAACUAAUUUUUAAAUUUAGUUUGCGGUAUGUAGUCCUCCAUAAAAGAAGACAAGAUGACUGAUGGGAAGUAUUGCCUUUUAGUAAUGUGCUUUUUUCUGAUAAUGGUAGAUAACAUCGAAAGUGUCCCAGCUACUGUAACUCAAGGUCCAAAAGAGAGAAAUUAUAGGCCAAUAAUUCUACCUCCCUGCAAGAAACCUUUAGAGCUGGCAGAAGAUGGGACAUGUAGAGAAGUAGAACGUUAAACAAAAAAAAACAUUA